rnacentral:rRNA from 1 species
GAUAAACGCUGGCGGCGUGCAUGAGACAUGCAAGUCGAACGGGCGACUCGGGCUUGCUCGAGUCGCUAGUGGCGAACGGCUGAGUAACGCGUAGGUGACCUGCCCCGAAGCGGGGGAUAACUGCCCGAAAGGGUGGCUAAUACCGCAUGUGGUCACACGUUCAUUCGUGUGAGCAAAGCAGCGAUGCGCUUCGGGAGUGGCCUGCGUCCGAUUAGCNCGUUGGUGGGGUAACGGCUCACCAAGGCGACGAUCGGUAGGUGGUCUGAGAGGACGAUCACCCAGACUGGGACUGAGACACGGCCCAGACUCCUACGGGAGGCAGCAGUCGGGAAUUUUGCCCAAUGACGAAAGUCUGAGGCAGCAACGCCGCGUGAGGGAUGAAGG